UUUCUAUAAAACUUAAGUAUUGAAAACAACUCGAGAUUGUGUCUGACUUUGGUGCUACUGGUAUUCCACCCCACACAACCUCUAGGAAGAUUGCAUGAUGCUCUGCAUGAAGCAGCACUCUUCAGAUCAAUGCAGUUUGAUAAGUUCUGGUCACCUCCGUGGGUGUGGCAAUGGACAAAUCUCACAAGGUUCUCCUGACUUACAUGCAGAAACUCUUGUUUCAAUGGAGGUGGGCUGAUGGGGGAUGCCUGAAUUCUGCUGGCACUAGUGGUUUCACCAGUAAUAAAGGGUAAAGUGUGAAUAGUAAAAGCAGAGGCAGAAGAGGAGACAGAGAGCUUGGACCAGCAAAACAUGAAGAAAAGGGGCUCAGUGGAGCUUUCUCAGGCAGUCUGCUCAGGGUUUUUGUUUAAUUUUUUAAAAAAUUUUACUUUUUGUGUUUGUUUGUUUGGUAUUUUUCUGUAAAAUCCUGUGCACCCAAAGAUGAAUUAAGGUGGUAUUCUUUGUUUGUUUCUUUUGGCAGAGAGAUCUGACUCCUUUUGAAAACGCGAGUAUAUUUUUGUUUGCUGUUUUGCUCGUGUCUGCAUCGAGGCAGACAGACAGUGUGGUUAUUGGAACUGGACCCCUUCAGAGUUCAUCACUAGUGCCACCAAACAUGUUAGAUCUAAAUACAGCCAGACCAGAAAUAAGCUGCUCUCACCAGAGUAAAAGGAGGAGGAUGGGUAGUGUGAGAAUAUUGAAAACUGGAGUGGAUUUUGCUUGAUCUUCUUUAAAGAAGUCACUAGCCGAGGCUGAUUUCUAGAGGUGCCUGCACAGAUGAGGAUGUGAUGUGUCUUGACUACACCCUCUCCUUCCCUGCCAGGGGGUCUGCAGGUGCCCCAAUCAAGAAAUGGCCUUGGAAGGGACCUUAGAGAUCAUGGAAUUUAAAACCUCGCUGCCUUGUUCAUGAACUGCUUCCAGAUGAGCAGGUUGCUCAGAGCCCCAUCCAGCCUGGCCUUGAACAUUUCCAGGGACGGGAAGUUCACAUCCUUUCUGGGAAACCUGUUCUAGUUCCCUCUGUAAGAGCAGAUGAAGUUGUGGCCAGCGAAGAGCAGGGUGAGAACAAGUGAGAGGAGCAACUGUGCAGACACCAAGGCUCACGGAGGAGGAGGAGCUCCAGGCUGUGCAACUGAGAUCCUGAGAUCCCCCUACAGCCCAUGGUGAAAACCAUGGUGAGGCGGCUGUGCCCUUGCAGCCGCUGGGGGACCACAGGGAUGCAGAGAUCCGCUGUGCAGGAGACCUGUGCUGGAGCAGGUGGAUGCUCAAGGCUGUGAACCUGUGGAUAACCCAUGUCACAGCAGAUUCCUGACACAGACCUGCAGACCCGUGGAGGGAGGACCCCAUGCUGGAAUAGGUUUCCUGGUAGGACUUGUGACCCUGUGGAGGACGCAUGUUGGAGCAAGCUGUGCCUGACGGACUGUAUCCCAUGGAAGAGUCACCAGUGUUGCAGCAGCUCAUGGAGAACUGUAUCCCGUGGGAUGGACUCAUGUUGGAGAAGUUCAAGGAGAACUGUCUCCUGUGGACAGUUCUGGAGCAGUGGAAAUGCUCUUCUCCCUAAGGAGCAGGAGAAACGUGUGAUGACCUGACCAUAACCUCCAUUCCCUGUUUCCCUACACUGCAGACUGCCGGGGUAGGAGGUGAAGCUAGGGAAGAGGGAGGGGUAGGGAGAAGGUGUUUUAAAGAUUUUACUUCUCAUUAUCCUGCUCUGAAUUUUUGGGAAUAAAUUCAAAUAAUAUCCCCAACUCAAGUCUUUUUUGCCCAACAUGGUAUUUGGAGCAUGACCUCUCCUAUCUCAACACAUGAACCCUGCAUUAAAUUUUCUCUCCCCUGCUCAGUUGUAGAGGGGAGUGAUAGAAUUACUUUUUUUCCUGGUGUCCAAAAAUUUAGAUCAAUAAAUCGGGAUUCUUUAGUUUCAAACAGGAAGGGAGACAUGAAUACAUCUUCCUGAGGCUCCAGAUAUACAGCUUUACUAUGUUUAUUUUGCCCCAAAGAUUUCUAUCUGUGUUUUAGUAUGUCCAAAUGUAUGUAAAAUAUACAUACUACACAGUAGUUUACUAUUAGCCCAAGGGUUUUUUUCUAAAUGCACGUGUAUCCUCUCACUUGCAAAAUUUAUAUUUUUUCUAUCAACUCAUCAAAAACUGAGACACUAUAUUUUAUUUAUUCAGAGAUCUUAGUUUCCUACUUUUCUGACUGUUAACAGCUCCAAAUGCCUCUAAGUUGUAAUAGAAGCUACUAAUAAAGAUCAGAAUUUAAAAAAAAAUAUUUUGGCUGUGGACUGAAAAUUAGACAGUCAUAAUGAAGGUGGAUGUGGGAAGACAAAGAGUGAAGGAGAGAAAAUGUGAGAUUCAGCAAUGUUAUUCUGACAAGAAACUGAUGGCGUAGGUGGACUUCCAGAGGCUUGUCUGAAUAUUACCUGUGCAGUGAGUUCCUGAUGGGAAUGACAGGAUUCAUUUCAGUGUCUACAAUGAGAGGGGGAAAGAAAAAGAAGGAGAGAGCAAAAAAAAGAAAAAAGGCUUUGUUCAUUAAUCAGCUUGUUAGACAAGAGGAUCUGCUCUAUAAUGAGCUGCCUCUGAGACCUGCAGAAAGAAUUGGAAAUAGUUUUACUAAAGAAGACUGAUAGCUUAAUAUGAAAUGCACCACACUGGACAUUUUAUCACUAAGGUGUGAUGGCCAGAAUUUGGGUGCUAGUAAUAUGACAUUUUUUGGUGCUAUAUAUUGCAUAAAAUAGCCAUGAUACAGCAGAUUAUUUCAGGAAGCAACAAAUAGAAUUGAACAGGAGCUGAUUUGGUCACUACUUAAGUCUACCCGUUACACUCUUGAGAAGUCAGAAUGAAGGUACAUACACUUCCAUUACAUGAGGUCAU